AACUGCAUGACUGGCGGAUCGUGGGGAUACCCACAGGGAGUGCAGUAGUUAUUUUUGUGCCGACCGCCUGGGCAGCCU
rnacentral:ncRNA from 1 species